UGACCUCCAAUCAGGUAGGACUACCCGCUGAACUUAAGCAUA
rnacentral:rRNA from 1 species